CAUAGACAGGUUAGGGUUAUGGUUAUGGUUAGGUUUGGGGGUUAUAGUUAGGUAGAACAAAUCCAUUUCCGGUGGUGAUUGGGCAGCGACACCAAGGGUUAGGGUUAGGCAGGGCUGUAGUGGAGGCUAAACGCACGUAAACGCAGUUUACCCACCUCUGAAAUUUCAGAAACAGAGUUUAUCCACUUCUCACUUCAGAGUUUAGCUACCUCCCAACACAGUAAAUGCACUACCCUUGGUUGCGAAUCACUGAUCUAAGUAUUCAUAGUUUACCCACCUCUUAUUUCACCACUACACCCUUGGGGUUAGGCCUUCCUUCGUUUUCGUUUACCUGGGUCCCAUCGGUCACGGCAGAUGCCUCCCCGCCACGCCGGAGAACGCCAGGGGCCUGCAGCGAAAUGCUCCGAGUUGUAUGAGUAAGUUGGGGUGGACAUUUUUCGAAUAGUUUUGUUGUCACUGCUGACAGUGAACACAGAUUUUCCAAUUCGAAGGAUGGGAAUACGUCGUGAAGGUAAAAGCACAGCCCCAGUGCCGGUGGGCGUUAAUGCUCGGUUCCGUGUUUAUUAAACACAAUGCCUAGUCAGUAGGCCUAACACUUGUGCAGUCAUUAACACUAUCCCACUUCUUAUUUAGACUUUACCUUUUUCAAAUUUCAAUACAUUUGAACUGAGCUUAACAUUUUAAGUUGUAUAUUUUGAGGAUGUUUGCCUUUAGAAUUAAUGUUGGGCAACCCUAAAACCCCAAACCCCAAAUAUCUAUCUUAACUCUCUCUUUUAGUAUUUUCCUAUUUUUUUUUCAAGAGGCUAAUGGAUGAUUUGCAAACCGUGGCAAAAAAAAAGGCAAGUGAUGUUCAGCACGUUCUAAGAUGAGUUACUGAGGCCCUUGAUGAUUCAAAUGUAUUCGCUAACUUGAUGAGUCAGGUUUCAGUUAGUGUAGGCCUACCAGAAGUAGGCUACCAGACGUGGCUGCCAGCCUUCGUAAUGGUGAGUUAUGACUUUCAUAUCAAACAUAUUUUUAGAAGUAUUUAAUUAAAUUCUAAAUGCUCUCAUAUUCAUGGAACAUGAAAUACUGUUUUGCACUUUAAAGAAAUAUCAUCUUUUAAAUGCAGUCUGUUGGACAUUAAUAUGGACAUUGCCAAUACCCUAUAUACGAGGAAGUCACUGUUCAUACAGGAAGUCAGUUACUGAUGGGGGGGUUCGGAAGGACCUGGUGUUGACGAAUCACUGAACACCUCCACCUUGAAGAAAAUGCAAAUAUAUGCAGUUCGUCCGACAUGUCUUGACCUGCACCGUACUCAUGGGCUAGUGGGAGAGUCUGUGCAGAUCACCGACUCGUCUGGUCACCCAGGAGCAAUGGGGAUGUCCAAUCAUACCUUUACCCCAGCUGGAAUAAACUCCCAGAGGAUUUAAGACUUGCCCCAACUCUGAGCACCUUUAAAACAAGACUAAAGACUUUUAUGUUUGCUAUAGCUUUCUGCUAAAUCUAAAAUACAUUGCACUUUCUAAAAAGCUUUUUUUUAACUUUGCCUUUAUUUUCUAUUUUAAUACUAAAAUGCCUUUUUAACUUUCUAUUUUACCCAUUUCUUUGCAUAUGUUUUUCUUUUACUUAUCUAUUAUUUUAUUUAAUUGUAUGACAAUGUUUAUAUGUGAAGCACUUUGAGU
ensembl:lncRNA